GCAUCUGAAUCUUUCCCACUCCUUGCUGCACAGUGCAGGCCUGGGGACAAAUGAUGCUAAAGCAAUACAGAGCAAAUCCAGGCAGGUCCGUCUUCUUUUGCAAAGAGACUUGUCUCUACAGCUCUGAAACAUUU